UACGUAGGGUGCAAGCGUUGUCCGGAAUUAUUGGGCGUAAAGAGCUCGUAGGCGGUUCGUCGCGUCGGCUGUGAAAACCCGGGGCUCAACCCCGGGCCUGCAGUCGAUACGGGCAGACUAGAGUGCGGUAGGGGAGACUGGAAUUCCUGGUGUAGCGGUGAAAUGCGCAGAUAUCAGGAGGAACACCGGUGGCGAAGGCGGUUCUCUGGGCAUUACCUGACGCUGAGGAGCGAAAGUGUGGGGAGCGAACAGG
rnacentral:rRNA from 1 species